AACUAAACGGGAUGGAAGCGAAAUCCUCCGAUUUUUUCAUCUGGGAUAUUGUGAACAACCCGGCCGGAA
rnacentral:sRNA from 1 species